ACGUUUUGGUUUUCUUUGUAGGGCAUUUAAAUUUUGAUGCAAAAUUGUCAACCAAAGGACAGAGAAACAAUUGGGAAAAACAUGUUGAAGUUCUUCUUCUACCUGAACUGGAGCAUCUAGAUAAGACCCUGCUGACUGUGAGCACACUCAUCAGCCAGGAUGAGCGCAUCAGCUCUAGCCCUGUGGCCAAAAUCAUAUAUGGUGACCCUGCAAGCUUCUUGCCCCAGCUGCCCCAGGAAAGUGUGGUUCAUUGCUCAAAGAUUUGAAGCUGCAGGAAGAAGAUCACAGUCGAGUACCUCCAGCAUGUCGUGGAGCAGAAGAAAAGCAAGGAGGUGGUGCCCGUGCUCUUGCAGUUUCUACAGAAGGAGGCAGAACUAAGACUGGUGAAAUUCUUACCUGAGAUUUUGGCCCUGCAAAGGGAUCUAGUGAAACAAUUCCAGAAUGUUCCAGAAGAUGAAUACUGUUCCAUCAGGAGUUUUA